rnacentral:rRNA from 1 species
UACGUAGGUGGCAAGCGUUGUCCGGAAUUAUUGGGCGUAAAGGGCGCGUAGGCGGCGUCUUAAGUCAGAUGUGAAAUUCCCGGGCUUAACCUGGGACGUGCAUCUGAUACUGGGAUGCUAGAGUGCAGGAGAGGUAAGUGGAAUUCCUAGUGUAGCGGUGAAAUGCGUAGAUAUUAGGAGGAACACCAGUGGCGAAGGCGGCUUACUGGACUGUAACUGACGCUGAGGCGCGAAAGCGUGGGGAGCAAACAGGAUUAGAUACCCUGGUAGUCCACGCUGUAAACGAUGGAUACUAGGUGUGGGAGGUAUCGACCCCUUCCGUGCCGCAGUAAACGCAAUAAGUAUCCCGCCUGGGGAGUACGGCCGCAAGGUUGAA